UACGAAGGGGGCUAGCGUUGCUCGGAAUCACUGGGCGUAAAGGGUGCGUAGGCGGGCAGGUAAGUCCGUGGUGAAAUCUCUGAGCUUAACUCAGAAACUGCCAUGGAUACUAUUUGUCUUGAAUAUUGUGGAGGUAAGCGGAAUAUGUCAUGUAGCGGUGAAAUGCUUAGAUAUGACAUAGAACACCAGUGGCGAAGGCGGCUCACUGGCCCGUAACUGACGCUGAGGUGCGAAAGCGUGGGGGAGCAAACAGG
rnacentral:rRNA from 1 species